UUGCGGCGCCAGCACUUUCUUCGGGAAGUACAGGAAGCCCCACCCCUCGCCCCGCCCCGUCUCGCGGGAAACUGGCAGGUGGAGCUGGGCUCCAGACCCCGCCUGGCCCUGCGGUGGGUCCGCAUCCCCGCCCUCCGCCCAGGGCCUCCCUUCUCCCAGAGCCACCUCACAGCUCCGGGGCUUUUAAGAGCCUCCAGCCGAAGCCCUUUUUACCAAGGACCCUUGCUUCCCAAAGCGUGUUUUUACCAACCAAACUGAAAUUGCUGAGCCGCGGUUCUUUCCUUUUCCGGGUGGAUGUGGGGCGCCCCUCGGAACGCGCAUGACUGAGCUGCACUGAAGAUCCCGUGGGAGCCCGUGCGCCCCUCUCUCUACUCCUCCGUGAGUAGCUGACAGUUUCCCCACCCCCACUCCUGCUGUGACCGGUCAGCCCAAACAUGGUGGCCUGAGGGCCGGGAGCUCACUCCGGCCUCUGCGCCACUUCACAUGCUCCCCGCCCCCGCCCCCACCAUUACAAGGUGUCCUUCCGGAGGAGGCUACAGAGGUUGUUAGAGUUCUGGGUAGGGGGGAGGGCACGCUCAUUAUUUCCAGUGAGACAAGGAUCUUCAGACCCCGCGAUGGAAACCAGAGAACCGUUCGUUGAACGUCAGAAAUCUGACGGCAUCAUCAGUGUCCAUCCAGCAAGCCCCGCAGGAUGGACGAGGCCCUCCCGAAUGUCUUCCCAGCCUCAGAACCUGCACCAGCACCUUGAGCAAGUGCGGAGCCCGCGUGGCCCUACUCGAGGAGCCCUGUCCUGAGGAGCCUCCGCUCUGGGCCCCGAAUUGUAGCCCUGAGGCCCCACGGAGCAGGUCUGAGUCUGAGGAUGUCCCUCAGGUACUCAGCGAGCUCGGUUCAGGCCUCCCCUGCUCUAGCAAGGGACACCCCCCUGCAGCCCGCCGGGGCAAACACCGCGGGGUCUUCUGGAUCCUUCUUCUCUGAUCUGGUCCCAGCUUAUCUCGACCCGUCGUUGAGAAGGGAGGUGCCCGGAACUGAAAAGGAUGGCCGUCCGCAUGCUCAUCGGUCCUACAGAAUGGAACCCAAAUGCCAGGCUGACGACAAGGAGCAAGACAGACCCCGGCCAUCAUGAAGCUCCCGUCCUGGUAGAGGGGCGGGGGAUGUGGGGUAACGGACGAGGACAACAUCAGACAGUGACGCUCCGCAGAGCGGAAGCAGGUCCAACGAGGCAUGACCAGAGGUCAGGUGGCCUCCGUGAGGGGCUGACAUUCGUGCUGAGAUCUGAGUGACGAGAACAGCUGAAGCGAAGUCCCCAGUGCAGCAGCAGACCCCCUUCUCUGCCGCCUUUCGAAGAGGGAGAGGCGGAGGAGGAAGGACUCAGCGAGCCUCUUCCACACCCGUCCCCACAAGAGCGGGCCCCUUGAAUGCUCUCUCCCUCCUCGUGUCCUAGGGCAGGUGGCUGAAAUAGCCCGGAAGUCCCCUUCCCCACACCUGAGCAGCUGGAAUGGAGAGUGACUCAGACCUGAUUCGUGCCCCAGCACCUCCCACCGCGGGGACCCGUGACGACCGGUGCCUGCUUCCUGGGAUUCCUGUGCACAGGCUGUGCCCGUCUGCCCCGUGGAGCAAAGGAGGGGUUGGGGGUGUGGGCACCUGGAGAAUCAUCGUUUCCAGGGACGCCCUGGGGCAGUGCUCCUUACCCUUGGCUUCUCAUUCUUGGCCACACGAGCACCUGGGAGCGCAAAACAGGUGGUCAAGCCUGGGCCCCCGGACCGAGUUGGGGGUCAGAACAUCAGGGGACCCACGUAUGGCCUUUCUCAGCAGCUCUCUGGUGCUUCAGUCGUGUGGCUGAGACAGGAAUCACUGGGCUCUGGGGGUGCCUGGAUGGCACAUCGUGGAGCCUGCUUGGGAUCCUCUCUCUCUCUGCCUCUCCCCCAUCCCUCUCUCUUGCUGUCCCUCUCUCUGUCUCUCAAACAAAUACAUUUAAAAAAUGAAAUAAAAUAAAAGGGAUCACUGGGUCCCAGCAAAGGGCAGGCGCAGGCUGGAACGGUAGAGGUGAGAUAGAAAUCGGGUGCCAGUGCCCUGGGCGUGAGGACGGUCUGCAGCGGGGAAGAGGCGAGGGUGCCCCGAGGUGGUAAACAACCGCAGAUGGGCAAGAAGGAGCUUGCAGAAUGGGGCACCUGGGCCCUUGCCCAGAUACGGUAAAGCCAGAGAGAAGGGCGGGAGGAGCAGGGGAGCUGGCGUGCGGGCUGGGCGGUGGCUGGGAGGCAGGGGCAGGCCUGACUCCGGGGUGCGAGGCUGGGAGAGGCCGGCUCCCCUCCGGCUUAGAGGGUCACCGAGCAGUCCCAGUGAGUGAGGGGUAUGGCAGCCAUAUUGUGGACCCUCAAACUCAAAAUCGGGACUGGUUUACGGAGGAAAUGGGACACGAUGUCUUAUCUAGAUUUUUCCUGAGAAUCUGGCCCACAGAGGCCCUGUGCCGGGGUGGCGGAGGGGAUGUGCCCUGUGAAGAGCACUGAUCUGAAACCCUAUAAACUGGUACAAUGGCAUCGAUGUCCCCGUCUGUCCUGUGACUCACAGGCCCUGGAAACUCCCCAUUUCUACACCGAGAGCAGGCGAACUUGCGGCCGUUAGGUUUUAGCGUCCACCCGGCUGGACCGAGGGACACC